ensembl:lncRNA LNC-LBCS lncRNA bladder and prostate cancer suppressor, hnRNPK interacting
GGGCGGUCGCCCUGACAACGCAGACGCCAGCCCGCACAAUGACUUCCAGCUGGAGCAGCCCAGCCAGCCUGCGCGCUCACUCGCUUGCUUGCGCUGGGCUUCAGGGCGCCCGGAUUUCUUGCUUCAAAACAGCUGCAUUUUUGGAAGAAAGUCCACAACUGACAACUAAGCAAAACCCUCCUGGUGGAUAGCAUAAAUCUGCUUUGUUGAAGCUGCUCAUUUGUCUGAUCUAUGAGUCCAGAAGAUGCAAACUCCCUUCCCAGCUUAUGCAAAAAUACUUCCAGUAAAAACAAGCCCUUUGGCCCUUUUCUUUUGUCAGUCCAGAUUUCAGCAUGUUCUUCGCUUUGUUAUUCAUCAUUUUAUGUAUUUGGACCCAUCCUCAAACAGACUUUAAACCGUUUAAAGGCAAGGAGGGACUCUUUCGUAAACCUUUAAUCCCCUGGCCCAGCUGAGUAGAUGCACAGUGUCUUUUGAUGAUGGUGAUAUGGAAUGAUUAAUAACCACACAAGGCAUUCGGUUGGUCAAGUCACUGUUUAUUGGCUCAAAAUAAUCCUUGGUUUCUGUAUGUCUACAGCUCACUUCCUAAACAGUUAAAUCCGGAGAAGUCUAAUAGAUAAUAGUUGGUGAUCAUAAAUAUAAAUAACCAAUACAUUAGAAUGUGUAGUCAAAAUAGGAAUACUUGCUUUUCACUUACUUCCCACGGGUCGCUGCUGGUGGUAGUCAACACAAAUAAAAAUUUGAACUCAUUUUGUUAUUCAUCUAAAAUGAGAAACUCGGUGAAACAUUGAUUUUCUAAAAUUGCUGCAUAUUUAAAUGUGAUUAUAAUUGCUUUUUAGCAUUUUAAAAUUGUAACAUCGAUACCAAAUGCUUAAGAAUCUAAAGAAUAGUCUAUUGGGGCUGGCCUAUUUUGUGUAAAAUGGUCUGUAUCAUAAUGGAUGACUGAUUAUCCCAUCCACAUUAUUUGGAUUCACUUAAUACUAGGUUUUAACGUUAGGAGAAUAAAACCCUCAAGAAACCUAACAUAGAUUUGUAUAUUUAGUUUUCUCCUUCCUUAUCAUCUUCCACCAGACUUACAGGUGUUCCACCUGCUUGUAGUUUCGGUAAUAAUACCAGCUGGCGGUGGUUCCUAACUCUAGCUACACUUUAAAAUUACCUCGUGCAUUUAAAAAAAAAAUGCAGUUGUUUAGGUUCUUCCCCUAGAUAUUUUAAUUUACAAGGUUUGGGAUGUGGCCUGGGCACCGAUUUUUUUAACUUUUUAUUUGAAUGUAGACUUACAGGAAGUUGCAAAGAUAGUACAGAGAGGUCUGAUAGAGCCUCCACUGUUGGUUACAUCCCGCAUAGCUAGAGCACAAUAAUAAAGCCAGGACAUUGACACUGAGAUAAAAUGUGCCUGUGAUUCUGUGUCACCUUAUCCCUGAAGACUCUUGUAAUCAUUACCACAAUCAAAAUACAAACUAUUUCAACACCACGAAGAUCUCUCUCAUACAGUCCCUUUAUGGUCGUCCCUUUCUUUCCCCCACACCAUCCCUAACCCUUUGCAACCAUCAGUCUGUUCUCCAUUUCUAUAAUUUUGUCGUUUGGGGAAUGUUUUAUAAAUUGGUCCUCACAGCUUGUGACCUUCUAAGAUUAGCUCACCAUCCCCCCCACCCCCCCACCCCACCCAACUCAGCAGAAUGCCCUAGAGAUUUAUCCAAGUUAUUGCAGGUAUUUCUAGUUUGUUCCUUUCUGUUACUGAGUUCUACACUAUGGGUGUAACACAGUUUGUUUAAUCAUUCAGCAUUCACCUAUCAUACAUUUUGGUUCCUUCUUUUUUUGGGCGGGGGGAGUGCCUAUUACAAAUAAAACUGUCUUGAAAAA